GAUUAAAGGACCACGUCAGUGUUUUUCAAUGUUUUAGCCAUUUAACAAGAAAUCACACAAACAAAAUACAAACUGCUGCUCAUUUUCCAGAAUAUGCUGUCGUGUUUUUAAAUGUGUUUUUUUAAUAUCUUUUAAGCAGCCGCUGGUUUCGGUUCAUUUGCUAGUUUCUAAACUCUACAAGCAGAUUUUCAUGUUGCUCUGAAGUGAACUGAAGUCGAAGGAGAAACAUUAGAACAACUGAAGCGUAAUCUUUGGCGAUGAAACAAAGGAUGUGGCGUAGGCGUUGACGACAGGACGUGAUGUAGGCGACGCAAACAGGAUGUAGGUGAUGACGACAGGACGUGAUGUAGGCGACGCUGACAGGAUGUAGGUGAUGACGACAGGACGUAGGCGAUGACGACAGGACGUAGGCGAUGACGACAGGACGUGAUGUAGGUGACGCUGACAGGACGUAGGCGAUGACGACAGGACGUGAUGUAGGCGACGCUGACAGGACGUAGGCGAUGACGACAGGACGUGAUGUAGGCGACACUGACAGGAUGUAGGUGAUGACGACAGGACGUAGGCGAUGACGACAGGACGUAGGCGAUGACGACGUGAUGUAGGCGACGCUGACAGGACGUAGGCGAUGACGACAGGACGUAGGCGAUGACCACAGGACGUAGGCGAUGACGACAGGACGUAGGCGAUGACGACAGGACGUAGGCGAUGACGACAGGACGUGAUGUAGGCGACGAUGACAGGACGUAGGCGAUGAUGUCAGGAUGUGAUGUAGGUGACGCUGACAGGACGUAGGCGAUGACAACAGGACGUGAUGUAGGCGACGCUGACAGGACGUAGGCGAUGACAACAGGACGUGAUGUAGGCGACGCUGAUAGGACGUAGGCGAUGACGACAGGACGUGAUGUAGGCGACGCUGAUAGGACGUAGGCGAUGACGUCAGGAUGUGAUGUAGGCAACGCUGACAGGACGUAGGCGAUGACAACAGGACGUGAUGUAGGUGACGCUGACAGGACGUAGGCGAUGACGUCAGGACGUGAUGUAGGCGACGAUGACAGGACGUAGGCGAUGACGUCAGGAUGUGAUGUAGGCGAUGCUGACAGGACGUAGGCGAUGAUGACAGGACGUGAUGUAGGCUACGCUGACAGGACGUAGGCGAUGACAACAGGACGUGAUGUAGGUGACGCUGACAGGACGUAGGCGAUGACAACAGGAUGUGAUGUAGGCGACGCUGACAGGACGUAGGCGAUGAUGACAGGACGUGAUGUAGGUGACGCUGACAGGACGUAGGCGAUGACGACAGGACGUGAUGUAGGCGACGCUGACAGGACGUAGGCGAUGACAACAGGACGUGAUGUAGGCGAUGACGACAGGACGUGAUGUAGGCGACGCUGACAGGACGUAGGCGAUGACAACAGGACGUGAUGUA